CAGCACCUCAAGUGGUCAGGAUGAUUAUUGGGCCUAAAGCAUCCGUAGCCGGCUCUGUAAGUUUUCGGUUAAAUCUGUACGCUCAACGUACAGGCUGCCGGGAAUACUGCAGAGCUAGGGAGUGGGAGAGGUAGACGGUACUCGGUAGGAAGGGGUAAAAUCCUUUGAUCUAUUGAUGACCACCUGUGGCGAAGGCGGUCUACCAGAACACGUCCGACGGUGAGGGAUGAAAGCUGGGGGAGCACACCGGAUUAGAUACCCGAGUAGUCC
rnacentral:rRNA from 1 species